rnacentral:rRNA from 1 species
AGGUGCUUGCACCUUUCAAGCGAGUGGCGAACGGGUGAGUAACACGUGGAUAACCUGCCUCAAGGCUGGGGAUAACAUUUGGAAACAGAUGCUAAUACCGAAUAAAACUUAGUAUCGCAUGAUAUCAAGUUAAAAGGCGCUACGGCGUCACCUAGAGAUGGAUCCGCGGUGCAUUAGUUAGUUGGUGGGGUAAAGGCUUACCAAGACGAUGAUGCAUAGCCGAGUUGAGAGACUGAUCGGCCACAUUGGGACUGAGACACGGCCCAAACUCCUACGGGAGGCUGCAGUAGGGAAUCUUCCACAAUGGGCGCAAGCCUGAUGGAGCAACGCCGCGUGUGUGAUGAAGGCUUUCGGGUCGUAAAGCACUGUUGUAUGGGAAGAAAUGCUAAAAUAGGGAAUGAUUUUAGUUUGACGGUACCAUACCAGAAAGGGACGGCUAAAUACGUGCCAGCAGCCGCGGUAAUACGUAUGUCCCGAGCGUUAUCCGGAUUUAUUGGGCGUAAAGCGAGCGCAGACGGUUGAUUAAGUCUGAUGUGAAAGCCCGGAGCUCAACUCCGGAAUGGCAUUGGAAACUGGUUAACUUGAGUGUUGUAGAGGUAAGUGGAACUCCAUGGGUA